GACGAACGCUGGCGGCGUGCUUAACACAUGCAAGUCGAACGGAAAGGCCCUGCUUUUGUGGGGUGCUCGAGUGGCGAACGGGUGAGUAACACGUGAGUAACCUGCCCUUGACUUUGGGAUAACUUCAGGAAACUGGGGCUAAUACCGGAUAGGAGCCCCUGCUGCAUGGUGGGGGUUGGAAAGUUUCGGCGGUUGGGGAUGGACUCGCGGCUUAUCAGCUUGUUGGUGGGGUAGUGGCUUACCAAGGCUUUGACGGGUAGCCGGCCUGAGAGGGUGACCGGCCACAUUGGGACUGAGAUACGGCCCAGCCUCCUACGGGCGGCAGCAGUGGGGAAUAUUGCACAAUGGGCGGAAGCCUGAUGCAGCAACGCCGCGUGCGGGAUGACGGCCUUCGGGUUGUAAACCGCUUUCGCCUGUGACGAAGCGUGAGUGACGGUAAUGGGUAAAGAAGCACCGGCUAACUACGUG
rnacentral:rRNA from 1 species